rnacentral:rRNA from 1 species
UACAGAGGGUGCGAGCGUUGUUCGGAAUUAUUGGGCGUAAAGGGCGCGUAGGCGGUGCCACAAGUCACUUGUGAAAUCUCCGGGCUUAACUCGGAGCCUGCAGGCGAAACUGUGGUGCUGGAGUGUGGGAGAGGUGCGUGGAAUUCCCGGUGUAGCGGUGAAAUGCGUAGAUAUCGGAAGGAACACCUGUGGCGAAAGCGGCUCACUGGACCAUAACUGACGCUGAGGCGCGAAAGCUAGGGGAGCAAACAGG